GACGAACGCUGGCGGCGUGCUUAACACAUGCAAGUCGAACGGAAAGGCCCUGCUUGCAGGGUCCUCGAGUGGCGAACGGGUGAGUAACACGUGGGUGAUCUGCCCUGCACUUCGGGAUAAGCCUGGGAAACUGGGUCUAAUACCGGAUAGGAGCCAUUUUUAGUGUGAUGGUUGGAAAGUUUUUUCGGUGUAGGAUGAGCUCGCGGCCUAUCAGCUUGUUGGUGGGGUAAUGGCCUACCAAGGCGGCGACGGGUAGCCGGCCUGAGAGGGUGGACGGCCACAUUGGGACUGAGAGACGGCCCAGACUCCGACGGGAGGCAGCAGUGGGGAAUAUUGCACAAUGGGCGCAAGCCUGAUGCAGCGACGCCGCGUGGGGGAUGACGGCCUUCGGGUUGAAAACUCCUUUCGCUAGGGACGAAGCUUUUUGUGACGGUACCUAGAGAAGAAGCACCGGCUAACUACGUG
rnacentral:rRNA from 1 species